ACGAACGCUGGCGGCAUGCCUAACACAUGCAAGUCGAACGAGACCUUCGGGUCUAGUGGCGCACUGGUGCGUAACGCGUGGGAACCUGCCCUUAGGUUCGGAAUAACUCCCCGAAAGGGGUGCUAAUACCGGAUAAUGUCUUCGGACCAAAGAUUUAUCGCCUUUGGAUGGGCCCGCGUUGGAUUAGCUAGUUGGUAGGGUAAAAGCCUACCAAGGCGACGAUCCAUAGCUGGUCUGAGAGGAUGAUCAGCCACACUGGGACUGAGACACGGCCCAGACUCCUACGGGAGGCAGCAGUGGGGAAUAUUGGACAAUGGGCGAAAGCCUGAUCCAGCAAUGCCGCGUGAGUGAUGAAGGCCUUAGGGUUGUAAAGCUCUUUUACCCGGGAUGAUAAUGACAGUACCGGGAGAAUAAGCUCCGGCUAACUCCGUG
rnacentral:rRNA from 1 species